rnacentral:hammerhead_ribozyme from 1 species
GCUGAGGAGUCCCAUACCAGGACGAAACGGCCGUCCAGUGC